AGAACGAACGCUGGCGGCAGGCUUAACACAUGCAAGUCGAGCGCCCCGCAAGGGGAGCGGCAGACGGGUGAGUAACGCGUGGGAACGUACCCUUUGCUACGGAAUAGCUCCGGGAAACUGGAAUUAAUACCGUAUGUGCCCUACGGGGGAAAGAUUUAUCGGCAAAGGAUCGGCCCGCGUUGGAUUAGCUAGUUGGUGGGGUAAUGGCCUACCAAGGCGACGAUCCAUAGCUGGUCUGAGAGGAUGAUCAGCCACAUUGGGACUGAGACACGGCCCAAACUCC
rnacentral:rRNA from 2 species